CCUACGGGAGGCAGCAGUGAGGAAUAUUGGUCAAUGGCCGGAAGGCUGAACCAGCCAUGCCGCGUGAAGGUCAGUGCCCUAUGGGCGUUAAACUUCUUUUGUGCGGGAGCAAUAAUGGUCACGUGUGGCCAGACGAGAGUACCGUACGAAUAAGCAUCGGCUAACUCCGUGCCAGCAGCCGCGGUAAUACGGGGGAUGCAAGCGUUAUCCGGAUUUAUUGGGUUUAAAGGGUGCGUAGGCUGUGAGGUAAGUCAGCGGUGAAAUGCCCCCGCUCAACGGGGUGAAGUGCCAUUGAUACUGCCUUGCUGGAAUGCGGAUGCCGUGGGAGGAAUGUGUGGUGUAGCGGUGAAAUGCAUAGAGAUCACACAGAACACCGAUUGCGAAGGCAGCUCACGAAUCCGCGAUUGACGCUGAUGCACGAAAGCGUGGGUAUCAAACAGGAUUAGAUACCCCUGUAGUC
rnacentral:rRNA from 1 species